UACGGGGGGAGCAAACGUUGUUCGGAAUCACUGGGCGUAAAGGGCGUGUAGGCGGCUGAAUAAGUGGGAUGUUAAAUCCCCCGGCUCAACCGGGGACCUGCAUCUCAUACUGUUCAGCUCGAGCACAUCAGAGGAGACUGGAAUUCCCGGUGUAGCGGUGAAAUGCGUAGAUAUCGGAAGGAACACCGGUGGCGAAAGCGGCGCGCUGGAUCUCUUCUGACGCUGAGGCGCGAAAGCCAGGGGAGCGAACGGG
rnacentral:rRNA from 1 species